ACUUGAAUAGCUUAAUAUAAAGCGUAACACUGAAGUUGUUAAAAUAAGGUUAUACCUUUCUAAGUA
rnacentral:tRNA from 1 species